AAAAAGGGUGUUUGCCGCUUCGAUGGCACGUGUGCCGGCGACGGUGCGCGGGGUAUGGCCAUCAAGACAUACCCAACACGUAAUUUUUUGACUCGUGAGGCAGUUGGCUACCCUUAAGUACCGGCGCCUCC